AAAAACGGUCUAUUUCCCCAUGAGAAGUAUGCUUAUCACGCCAGAUAGAGCCCAUUCUUUGACCUCGGUCUAUAUGUCCAUGAAACGAAAGUUAAAUACUUAUUUCCCCACGAAAUGGAAGUUCAAUAGCUUAAUUUCUCCGAAUCUGAAAGUUCGAGAUCUAUAACCCAUCGUACUGGGUUUAAUGGGUUUACUGUAUACUUAACCAUCGUGCUGGGUUUAAUGGGUUUACUGUAUACUUAACCGAUAAUUAAACCAUCUAACCGAUAAUUAAACCACCUCUGUUACCAUAUGGGACCAGUCCUCUCUUCUUCUCCGAUCAACAUCUACCAGAUAUCUGGUACGGACGUUGGUCUCGUCCACACAAAUCCCUAAUCAGAGAUUUCCUCAAUUCAAUCUCCGACGCUAAAGCUCCUUCUCCCUCCGUCACUGAAUGGUGGCGCACCGCUUCUCUUUACGCAGAUCAAACCGGAGGUAACGUAUCUAGAUCCGUUUUAAUCGCCGGUGAAUACUCCGAUUCGAAAUACUCCCACGGCCAACACCUAACUCGUCUCACGAUUCAAGACGUUAUCGCCUCCGCCGCGAGAUCCGCUUCGUUUCCGGUGGAUCACAAAAAUGGAAUGAAUGCAAUCUUCAUUUGGCGUGAUAAGCAUACUUCUCAUGGGGGAAAUAGACCGUUUUUCCAGGAUUUAAUUUACAACUCCUUAAAUAAAUGCAAUCUUUAACGCAGCCUAUUGGAAAUUUGAGAACACACGUAUACAAUGUCUACCUUUUGGUUUACAAGAGUUGAAAAAGCUAAUUCACUUGGAUUUGGAGUGGACGAAGAAGCUUUCGAGUAUUGUUGGGAUUUCUUCACUACUAAAUUUGAAAGUAUUUAAUUAAAAGGUUCAGGAGUUAGAGUCAAUCCCAACACAGUGGAGGAGUUGCUAGUCUUGGAACAUUUAGAAAUUCUAACCAUAGGAAUCGGUAAUGAUUCAGGUUUGGAUCAAGUUUUAAGCUCUCACAAGCUGAUGAAGUUCGUGAACUUUCUUUUCGUUCAUGUACUAUUUCUGAGAUAAAGAUGGAUAUUACAAGCAUUAGAAGCGAGACGGUUUCUCCUCUGCUCAACCCGACAAAUGCAUGCUUCUUAAGCCUCGCUACGAUUGUUCUAUGGUCUAGUUAUUGCUGCUGUAAAGAAUUGAUGUUCGCUCCAAAUCUUAGAAAACAUGUUGUUCACAAAGCAGAUGAAGUAGAAGACAUAAUAAACAAAGAGAAAGCUUGUGUAUGUGAAGAAUCAGGGAUUAUUCCUUUUCAAAGACUAGAAAUUUUUUGCAGUUGGAUAAUCUACCGGAGCUGAAGAACAUCUAUUUGAGACCUCUGCCAUUUCCCUGUCUUACCAAAAUCAGAGUAAUAAGCUGCCCAAAGCUGAGAAAGCUUCCACUCAAUUCUAAAAGCGGUCCAAGUGGUGAAAAGAGACUUGCCAUCGAUGCAGAGGCAAAUAGAGAAUGGGAGGACGAAGCUACUAAAGCCCGUUUCGUACAUCCAUCCAUUGAGAAACAGCAACUCUUUAAGAUUGAAGAAAAUAAAGAAGUAAUAACGUUACAAUCAUUCCGUCUAAAGCUUUCACCCUUGUUGACAAUACAAAUCAUGCCGCGUUGCUUUCAGAUCAUCCAUGGUUGUCUCUAAGGCUGUAAGACCACCAACUGUAUACUACAUGAAAAUGUUGUGUAACCAUACGCGACAAAGAUGCCGCACAAGUGAAAAGCUUUUGUAGUUUAUAAGAAAAUUCAUACACAAAUCCAGUUAUUUUUUCCCGUUA